rnacentral:rRNA from 1 species
GACGAACGCUGGCGGCGCGCCUAAUACAUGCAAGUCGAACGAGAGCGACCGGUGCUUGCACUGGUCAAUCUAGUGGCGAACGGGUGAGUAACACGUGGGUAAUCUGCCCAUCAGAGGGGGAUAACAUCCGGAAACGGAUGCUAAAACCGCAUAGGUCUUCGAACCGCAUGGUUUGAAGAGGAAAAGAGGCGCAAGCUUCUGCUGAUGGAUGGACCCGCGGUGCAUUAGCUAGUUGGUGAGGUAACGGCUCACCAAGGCCGUGAUGCAUAGCCGACCUGAGAGGGUGAUCGGCCACAUUGGGACUGAGACACGGCCCAAACUCCUACGGGAGGCAGCAGUAGGGAAUCUUCCGCAAUGGACGCAAGUCUGACGGAGCAACGCCGCGUGAGUGAAGAAGGUUUUUCGGAUCGUAAAAACUCUGUUGUUAGAGAAAGAAACAAAGUGCU